GGCCAGACUCCUACGGGAGGCAGCAGUGGGGAAUAUUGGGCAAUGGGCGCAAGCCUGACCCAGCAACGCCGCGUGAAGGAAAAAGGCUUUCGGGUUGUAAACUUCUUUUGACAGGGAAGAGCAGAAGACGGUACCUGUCGAAUAAGCCACGGCUAACUACGCGCCAGCAGCCGCGGUAAUACGUAGGUGGCAAGCGUUGUCCGGAUUUACUGGGUGUAAAGGGCGUGUAGCCGGGCUGACAAGUCAGAUGUGAAAUCCGGGGGCUCAACCCCCGAACUGCAUUUGAAACUGUUGGUCUUGAGUAUCGGAGAGGCAGGCGGAAUUCCUAGUGUAGCGGUGAAAUGCGUAGAUAUUAGGAGGAACACCAGUGGCGAAGGCGGCCUGCUGGACGACAACUGACGGUGAGGCGCGAAAGCGUGGGGGGCAAACAGGAUUAGAUACCCUGGUAU
rnacentral:rRNA from 1 species